CCAAAACCCACACAGACCCUCAUCACCUCAAACUCCAGAGUCUCCACUAUAUACCUACUUUCCAUAAACCAAGUUAAAACAUCAUGAAGACGCUCCACACCACCUUAGCCCUUCUAGUCCUCCUCUUGGCCUCUUCCUAUCUUCAAGCCACCAUGGCCGGCUCACCUUUCUGCAAUUCCAAGUGCAAGGUGAGGUGCUCCAAAGCAGGCGUUCGGGACCGGUGCCUCAAGUACUGCGGGAUAUGCUGCGAGGAGUGCCACUGUGUGCCUUCGGGGACUUACGGUCACAAGGAUGAGUGCCCUUGUUACAGGGACAAGUACACUGGCUCUGGCAAGAGGAGGAGGCCCAAGUGCCCCUGAGCCUCGUUCUGAGGCUAAAUACCUUUUAUAUAGCCUCUUUUCUUCCCCACUUGGCACCGGUAACUAGCGGGUAAUCAUGUUAUUGUGUGUCUAUAAGAGUUGAUAUGGAGUGGGAUAAAUAAAGGAAGUUGUUUCUGGAGUCCUAUAGCUAUAUUUCUUCGUCCAGAUGUGAGAGUGACGACGAGUGUUCGGAGAAAAUAAGAGAGAGAUCUGUUGGAAUUUUUACCGUUGUAUUUUCCCAUAUAUAUAUAUGUAUGUAUGUAUGUAUGUAUACCACCAUGUUU